rnacentral:rRNA from 2 species
UGGGNAUUGCCAUGGNGGAGUCUGAUGCAGCAACGCCGCGUGCGGGAUGACGGCCUUCGGGUUGUAAACCGCUUUCAAUUGUGACGAAGCUUUUUUGUGACGGUAGCAGUAGAAGAAGCACCGGCUAACUACGUGCCAGCAGCCGCGGUGAUACGUAGGGUGCGAGCGUUGUCCGGAUUUAUUGGGCGUAAAGAGCUUGUAGGCGGUUUGUCGCGUCGGGAGUGAAAACUUGGGGCUUAACCCUGAGCUUGCUUUCGAUACGGGCUGACUUGAGGGAGGUAGGGGAGAAUGGAAUUCCUGGUGGAGCGGUGGAAUGCGCAGAUAUCAGGAGGAACACCGGUGGCGAAGGCGGUUCUCUGGACCUUUCCUGACGCUGAGAAGCGAAAGCGUGGGGAGCGAACAGGCUUAGAUACCCUGGUAGUCCACGCCGUAAACGGUGGGUACUAGGUGUGGGGGACAUUCCACGUUCUCCGUGCCGUAGCUAACGCAUUAAGUACCCCGCCUGGGGAGUACGGCCGCAAGGCUAAAACUCAAAGGAAUUGACGGGGCCCCGCACAAGCGGCGGAGCAUGCGGAUUAAUUCGAUGCAACGCGAAGAACCUUACCUGGGUUUGACAUAUGCCGGAAGCGUUCAGAGAUGGGCGUGCCUUUUUGGUCGGUUUACAGGUGGUGCAUGGCUGUCGUCAGCUCGUGUCGUGAGAUGUUGGGUUAAGUCCCGCAACGAGCGCAACCCUCGUCCAAUGUUGCCAGCGGGUUAUGCCGGGGACUCAUUGGAGACCGCCGGGGUCAACUCGGAGGAAGGUGGGGAUGACGUCAAGUCAUCAUGCCCCCUUAUGUCCAGGGCUUCACGCAUGCUA